UCCCUGGCAGUCCAGUGGUUAAGACUCCACCCUUCCACUGUAGAGGGUGCAGGUUUGAUCCCUGUUUGGGGAA
rnacentral:tRNA from 1 species